UAAGUGAUUCUCCCAAUCCCUGAAAUAAACUCCUUUACCUCUUAUCUCUUCUUUUUCUGUUAUACCUGAUCCACCUAGGGAAGCACAAUUCCGCUGCUGGCCCUCCUGGGAAGCAUGUCCUGAGGCCCACCUUACAAGUGAUGCCCCUGCCUCUGCCCUGGCCACCCCAUCAUGGCUCCAUUGAUAUCUGUGCUCCCUCAGUCCAGAACUUUCACUCAAACUCAUAAGAGAAGUGAAUAGAUGGCUGGUUGAAGCACAUGGAAGUCCAUAUACAUCCAAGAAGAGGCUUCUACAAAUUUCACAUGGAUUCUCAGAACCAAAACUACAUUGCCAGAAAAGAUCCACCUUCAUUCUGUCAUGCACAACAGUGUUUACUUGUUCCUUACAAGAAAACAAGAUGAGGAGACAGAGACGCUGCUUCCAUUGUGGGCCCAGUACCACCCAGGACAUGUCUGGUAGAGCCAGGUUUAGUUC
rnacentral:lncRNA from 1 species